AUAUAAAUACUGUUAGUUUUCUCACAGAAACCGCUCGUUUCGUGUCUUAGGCCAUCAAUGUGUACUUACAUUUACGAGUCAUUAAAUCAUGUUUAAUUUGGACUUCUCUGUGCAUGCUCUUUGAGGUGGUGACCAUAGACCUGCAUUAUAUGACUGACAGACAAGAAUGGUUUGACCUAAAAAUAUCAAAAUUGAAACUUCUGUGGAAACAAAGACACCUACAUCUUGGAUGCCCUUGAGAUGCAGUUCAGAGAAACCCUCAUGGCUAAUUAUGCUGAAAUGGAGAUCGAGGGAUCCAUGAACUGGCAGCAGACCGAGGGGCAGACACAAGAUAAGUUUAAAUCUAUAUUACAAACACAACUCUUUAACCUAGCAUUAACAUAACACACUCCCACAUUUCUAUAAUUCACAUCCGUUAAAGGUAGCUUACACCAAAUGUACUUUUUACAUCGUAAGAAGAAUGGCAUCUAUGCUAAUGUUAGUCUCUCUGUCUCAUUUUGAUCCCAAGGUUAGGCUACUGUAGUCAUCCGGAUCUAGUCUGCAUCCAGACCAGACGGUGGACCUGCACCCUAAGAUGACCACAGCAGCCUGAAUGCCAGACGAGAACAUGACAACUAGACAAGACCUAGGAACAAACGCCUGUGAAGACCUCGUUGACACAACAAUCCUCGGCACAGUCAUCGGAUCAGAUCCACGAGAAACAGACCAGUCCACCACACAGACCCAACGGCCAGCUUCAACUCCCCUCUCACCGACGCCGGCGUGAUCUUAUGAAGGUAAAGGAGGAGCAAAACUGGAGAACAUAGAUGUGAAUUUAAGAACUUGUACAAUAAAUAUUUGUACUUGAAAACCUG